UCCUCUUUACAGAGGCAGUUUGUUCCGAGUCCCCGACUUUACUCGCUGGUAACAGAACAUGAGGGUUGCGCUCGUUGCGGGACUUAACCCAACAUUUCACAACACGAGCUGACGACAGCCAUGCACCACCUGUGCUCCACCCUCGAAGGCGACCACUUUUCGGCGGCUUGCAGAAGCAUGUCAAGCCCUGGUAAGGUUCUUCGCGUUGCAUCGAAUUAAGCCAUAUGCUCCACCGCUUGUGCGGGCCCCCGCCAAUUCCUUUGAGUUUCAACCUUGCGGCCGUAGUCCCCAGGCGGCUCACUUAAUGCGUUAGCUGCGGCACCGAAGUUUGCACCCCGACACCUAGUGAGCAUCGUUUAUGGCCAAGACUAC
rnacentral:misc_RNA from 1 species